GACGAACGCUGGCGGCGUGCUUAACACAUGCAAGUCGAACGGACAGGCCUCUUUCGGGGGGUACUCGGGUGGCAAACGGGGGGGUAACACGUUAGUAACCUGCCCUUCACUGUGGGAUAACUUCAAGUAACUGGGGCGAAUACCUGGGAGGAGCUCCUCUGGCAGGGGGGGGGCUGGCAAGUUUGUGGGGUUGGGGAGGGGCUCGCGGCUUAUCAGCGUGCUGGUGUGGGAGUGUCUUACCGAGGCGUUGACCAGCAUCCGGCCUGGGAGGGUGACCAGCGACACUGGGACUGGGACACGGCCCGGACUCCAACGGGAGGCGGGGGAGGGGGAUAGUGGACAAUGGGCGCGAGCCUGAACCAGCCUGGCCGGGUGAGUGGUGAAGGCGUUAGGGUUGGAAAGCGCUUUUAUCCAGGACGUUAAUGACGGUACCGGAGGAAGAAGCCCCGGCUAACUUCGUG
rnacentral:rRNA from 1 species